rnacentral:lncRNA from 1 species
GAAAUGCGCAACGGGGUCUUCCGUUUUCUUAAAAGUUUUACGUGCAGGUGUCAUAGAAGCUAUUGUCACCAAAAAAGCCUCUCUGCCCCAUGGAAAAUUACAAAACGCGUCAAUGUCGUCAACAAGUCUAACAUAUCUAGGCGUUGGCUGGUGUAUCUGAUUUCUGGCUAUUAAAACACACUCAACUAUCAGAAUGAGAACAAGACGCAGCUUUCGCCCACCACUCAUGUUUUUACCC